rnacentral:rRNA from 1 species
GAUGAACGCUGGCGGCGUGCCUAAUACAUGCAAGUCGAGCGAACAGACGAGGAGCUUGCUCCUCUGACGUUAGCGGCGGACGGGUGAGUAACACGUGGAUAACCUACCUAUAAGACUGGGAUAACUUCGGGAAACCGGAGCUAAUACCGGAUAAUAUAUUUAACCGCAUGGUUCAAUAGUGAAAGACGGUUUUGCUGUCACUUAUAGAUGGAUCCGCGCCGAAUUAGCUAGUUGGUAAGGUAACGGCUUACCAAGGCGACGAUGCGUAGCCGACCUGAGAGGGUGAUCGGCCACACUGGAACUGAGACACGGUCCAGACUCCUACGGGAGGCACAAGUAGGGAAUCUUCCGCAAUGGGCGAAAGCCUGCCGGAGCAACGCCGCGUGAGUGAGGAAGGUCUUCGGAUCGUAAAACUCUGUUAUUAGGGAAGAACAAAUGUGUAAGUAACUAUGCACGUCGUGACGGUACCUAAUCAGAAAGCCACGGCUAACUACGUG